AUUGAACGCUGGCGGCAUGCCUUACACAUGCAAGUCGAACGGCAGCGGACCUUCGGGUGCCGGCGAGUGGCGAACGGGUGAGUAAUAUAUCGGAACGUACCUUUCAGUGGGGGAUAACGUAGCGAAAGUUACGCUAAUACCGCAUAUUCUGUGAGCAGGAAAGCAGGGGAUCGCAAGACCUUGCGCUGAUUGAGCGGCCGAUAUCAGAUUAGCUAGUUGGUGAGGUAAAGGCUCACCAAGGCGACGAUCUGUAGCGGGUCUGAGAGGACUGAUCCGCCACACUGGAACUGAGACACGGUCCAGACUCCUACGGGAGGCAGCAGUGGGGAAUUUUGGACAAUGGGCGCAAGCCUGAUCCAGCCAUGCCGCGUGAGUGAAGAAGG
rnacentral:rRNA from 1 species